rfam:Schistosoma rodhaini strain Burundi genome assembly, scaffold: SROB_contig0001329
AUCUAGGUGACAAGUCCCAAAUAGGACGAAACGCGCGUCCUGGAU